UCCGGGUGCUGGAGUGUUGAGGAUGGGUCCGAUUUGGUGGUUGGCCUUGUAUGUCCCGACAUGCUCGUUGGACCAGAAGUCGGGUUCCCGAGGGUCGUCUGUGCUGGUGUCCCCUGUUCUUCAGUUGGUUGGGCGCCGAUUGAGUUUGUAGGUGUGGAUGUGCCAAAAGAAUUUAAUAGGUUAUCCAGUUAGCUGCAUUUUAGAGAUUUCGAAGUUUUAACUGGUCACCGGUCAGUUCAAGCAUUUUUGUUCUUCCUGCCUGUUAAGUAGGGACCCCAACUGUUGUUGUUUCUGCUAUUAUUAGUUCUCACCAACUGAUGUACUAGUUGCUGCUGCUAUUGAUGCUUUGCAGUUGGGUGCAGUGUCAUGCAUACUAUAUGGUGAAAUGCAGUAUACUAUCAUGGCCUUACUAAAAAUCCUGCUUCGUCCUAAUUUACCUUCAAUCUAUAGUUAUGUACACUUGUUUGAACUGAUUGUAUCCUCUGUUUUCUUGCAAUGCAUAUUUCCCUUCAUUAUGACAAGAUAUAUUUUUUAGUUCGAAUCUAAUGACAUCAACUUUGUGCCACAAAAUUAUGUAUAAAUAGAGUAACAGGUCAAAGCCUUGCCCUACUGAAAUGAAAUAAGCAUUGUAAUUUUAAGUGGAGGUUGUAGUAAUAAUAUUUUCAAUAUUUCCUGAACCACAUAUCAUGCAGCUUUGCUUUCUCCUGUUUUCUAACCAGUUCACUUGUUUUUAUGUUUUCAUUUGCUGAAAUAGUGCUAUCAACCAUGGUAAUUUUUUGUUAUUUCUAGUUCAGGAUUCAGAUGUUAGUGACAGAGGUGCUCAGGGCAGGACCAUACAUCUCUAGGUUUUCUCGACAUGCAUGCAAAGUUGCGAGAUUUUCCAGCAUUGGUUGUUCAGUUGUUUCACAAUUUAAAAAACCUCAAUUUCUGGACGUGCAUAGAAAAAUAAGUUCUUUCAGCUGUAGUGAGACAAUGCCUACAGCUCCAGCCAAUGGUGAUUCGCAGAGUGGCCUUCAGCGCAACUAUCAGGUUGUUGUUGCUGCCACUCGUGACUUGGGCAUUGGGAAGGAUGGGAUCUUGCCAUGGAAGCUUCUUGGUGACCUUAAGUUCUUCAAGGAGCUUACGCUUUCAACAUCUGACCCUGCCAAGAAGAAUGCAGUUAUAAUGGGAAGGAAAACAUGGGAGAGCAUUCCUGUUAAGUUGAGGCCAUUGCCUGGUCGUUUGAAUGUCAUACUUACUCGAUCUGGCAGUUUUGAUUUUGCAACAGUAGAAAAUGUUGUUAUCUGCGGAAGCAUGAAGUCUGCCUUAGAACUUCUAGCAUCAACUCCAUAUUGCUUAUCAAUUGAGAAAGUUUUUGUUAUAGGGGGUGGGCAGGUACUGAGGGAGUAUCUUAAUGGACCUGCAUGUGAGGCCAUCCAUCUAACUAACAUUCAGUUGAGCAUUGAGUGUGACACUUUCAUCCCACCAAUUGACUUCUCAGUGUUCCAACCAUGGUAUUCAUCUUUCCCGGUGGUAGAAAGCAACAUUAGGCAUUAUUUUGUGACCUUUGUUCGUGUUAGAAAAUCACUGGCAGAAACUAAUGACUCAGAUGGAAAGGAAUCAACUGAGGUUGAUAGCAAGAACGACAAGUUUGGAAUAGAAAAUUUCUCUUUUCUUCCGAAGAUGAUAUUUGAUCGCCAUGAGGAGUAUCAUUAUCUUAAUCUUGUUGAAGAUAUUAUAAGAUCUGGUGCUCAGAAAAAUGACAGGACAGGAACAGGAACAUUGUCAAAAUUUGGGUGUCAGAUGCGGUUCAACUUAAGGAAAAGUUUUCCUCUUCUGACAACAAAGAGGGUAUUUUGGCGUGGUGUUGUUGAAGAACUCCUGUGGUUUAUCAGUGGUUCAACAAAUGCAAAGGUUUUACAAGAGAAAGGUAUUCAUAUCUGGGAUGGCAAUGCUUCAAGAGAAUAUCUUGACAGUGUUGGCUUGGCGCACAGGGAGGAAGGUGAUCUAGGUCCAGUCUACGGAUUUCAAUGGCGACACUUUGGUGCUGAAUAUACAGACAUGCAUGCUGACUACACUGGAAAAGGUUUUGAUCAACUAAUGGAUGUUAUUGACAAGAUCAAGAACAAUCCUGAUGAUCGGCGAAUAAUUUUGUCGGCAUGGAAUCCUUCAGAUCUGAAGAAGAUGGCUCUUCCUCCUUGCCACAUGUUUGCACAAGAGAGCUGCGUAUCUUUGCAUUAAGAGGAAAAAGGGGGUUGGUCCAAUUUACAGUAGACAGCACCUCACCUUGGACCAGAUUUUAUGUUGAGAACGGGGAGCUAUCCUGCCAAAUGUAUCAACGCUCUGCAGACAUGGGACUUGGUGUUCCAUUCAACAUUGCAUCAUAUUCUCUCCUCACUUACAUGAUUGCUCAAGUUUGUG